CUCUGUGUUCCCAUGUCUCUCAAUGUUCCCAUGUCUCAGUGUCCCCUAGUGACAUGGGGACACUGGGAGACAUGGGGACACAGAC